GACGAACGCUGGCGGCGUGCCUAAUACAUGCAAGUCGAGCGAGCGGCGGACGGGUGAGUAAUGUAUGGGGACUGCCCGAUAGAGGGGGAUAACUACUGGAAACGGUGGCUAAUACCGCAUACUCUCGGAUAACCCAUAUGGGCUUAGCUAGUAGGUGGGGUAAAGGCUCACCAAGGCGACGAUCUCUAGCUGGUCUGCGAGGAUGGUCAGCCAACCUGGGGCUGAGCCACGGCCCAGACUCCUGCGGAGGCAGCAGUGGGGAAUGUGGCACAAUGGGCGCAAGCCUGAUGCAGCCAUGUCGCGUGUAUGAAGAAGGCCAUAGGGUUGUAAAGUACUGUCAGCGGGGAGGCGUUACCCGCAGCAGACGCACCGGCUAACUCCCUGCCAGCAGCCGCGGUAAUAC
rnacentral:rRNA from 1 species